rnacentral:lncRNA from 1 species
AUAUUUUCAACGUUUAUAUGCCCUGAACUUCUCAGAGUUUAAACUAACAUUAAUUUUCUUAAACUACCCCUACUUCGAAUGAAAGGUUACCACAGAUUUCAAUGUAAACAAUAUGCACAUGUAUAUUUACUGGUAACAUUCCCAAGUUAUGUCUCUGUGAGAUGGAACACAGAGAGCAUAACUGGGAACCAGUAUGUAAACAAAAUUAAUUUUCUAUGAAUAUUCAAGAUCUCCCCAAAAGAGGCGUGUUUUGAGAAA